AUUUUCUCUUUUCUUCUGCAUAUUUUUUCCUUACUACUAAUGUUUGUUCUUCUUAUUUUGCAGAGAAAGAAGAAUAAAAGAAAAUGAAAUCUUCACAAAGAAAAUAAAUAAGAGCUUAGAAGAUGCACUUCUCCAAAAAUAAAUAAAAAGUCAAGCAAAUGAAUAUCAAUCUUCACUAAUUUCUUUUUCAUUAAACAAAAAACAGCAGCACCACAUACUUAUCAAAAGCAUUGUUAUCAUUUUAUUUUUCACUAAUUAAUGCAAUAAUAUGUUUUUUCCUUUCAGGAUACAUAAAGAUACAAAC